UGCUGGUGGUGUAGGGGUUUAGCGCGCGACCAUGUUAAGAGGCUAUAGUCCUCAAAGCGGCUGUCCCGGGUUCGAGUCCCGGACCUGGCAA